UGUGUGUGUGUUCUUGUAGUGAAACUAUGGAACGCCAAACGGGUCACAAUUCGCCAUUAACCAGACGCCUGGUGUGCAGAAA